rnacentral:tRNA from 1 species
GCCGACUUAGCUCAGUAGGUAGAGCAACUGACUUGUAAUCAGUAGGUCACCAGUUUCGAUUCCGGUAGUCGGCACCA